rnacentral:rRNA from 1 species
CAGUCGAACGAAACUUCUUUAUCACCGAGUGCUUGCACUCACCGAUAAAGAGUUGAGUGGCGAACGGGUGAGUAACACGUGGGCAACCUGCCCAAAAGAGGGGGAUAACACUUGGAAACAGGUGCUAAUACCGCAUAACCAUAGUUACCGCAUGGUAACUAUGUAAAAGGUGGCUAUACUACCGCUUUUGGAUGGGCCCGCGGCGCAUUAGCUAGUUGGUAGGGUAAAGGCUUACCAAGGCAAUGAUGCGUAGCCGAAUUGAGAGGUUGAUCGGCCACAUUGGGACUGAGACACGGCCCAAACUCCUACGGGAGGCAGCAGUAGGGAAUCUUCCACAAUGGGCGAAAGCCUGAUGGAGCAACGCCGCGUGGGUGAAGAAGGUCUUCGGAUCGUAAAACCCUGUUGUUAGAGAAGAAAGUGCGUGAGAGUAACUGUUCACGUUUCGACGGUAUCUAACCAGAAAGCCACGGCUAACUACGUGCCAGCAGCCGCGGUAAUACGUAGGUGGCAAGCGUUAUCCGGAUUUAUUGGGCGUAAAGGGAACGCAGGCGGUCUUUUAAGUCUGAUGUGAAAGCCUUCGGCUUAACCGGAGUAGUGCAUUGGAAACUGGGAGACUUGAGUGCAGAAGAGGAGAGUGGAACUCCAUGUGUAGCGGUGAAAUGCGUAGAUAUAUGGAAGAACACCAGUGGCGAAAGCGGCUCUCUGGUCUGUAACUGACGCUGAGGUUCGAAAGCGUGGGUAGCAAACAGGAUUAGAUACCCUGGUAGUCCACGCCGUAAACGAUGAAUGCUAAGUGUUG